ACUCAAAUGAAUAGACGGGGGCCCGCACAAGCAGUGGAGCAUGUGGUUCAAUUCGAUGCAACGCGAAGAACCUUACCUGGGCUUGAAAGGCCAGCGACCGGCGAUGAAAGUCGCCUUCCCCGCAAGGGGCGCUGGUACAGGUGCUGCAUGGCUGUCGUCAGCUCGUGCCGUGAGGUGUUGGGUUAAGUCCCGCAACGAGCGCAACCCUUACACUUAGUUGCCAGCAGGUAAAGCUGGGCACUCUAAGUGGACUGCCUACGCAAGUAGAGAGGAAGGUGGGGAUGACGUCAAGUCCUCAUGGCCCUUACGCCCAGGGCCACACACGUGCUACAAUGGCCGCAACAAUGGGUUGCCAAACCGCAAGGUGGAGCCAAUCCCAAAAAAGCGGUCUCAGUUCGAAUUGGAGUCUGCAACUCGACUCCAUGAAGCUGGAAUUGCUAGUAAUCGCGCAUCAGCACGGCGCGGUGAAUACGUUCCCGGGCCUUGUACACACCGCCCGU
rnacentral:rRNA from 1 species